AUCCAGCUGAUGAGUCUGAAAUAGGAUGAAACGCAUGUUUUGGAU
rnacentral:hammerhead_ribozyme from 2 species